ensembl:lncRNA
CAAGAGCGUCAUGUGUGAGCUGCCCAUAAACACAAACCAAACCCAGGCCUCUCUGCAGCUCUGGCAGUGCAGAUCCAUCCUGGGAACUACAGGUGAGCAGCAGGGCUGCACCUCUGAGCUUCUGCUGGCCUUGGGAGCAUUUCCCUGCUUUUUCCAUGUUUUUCUCUGGCUGUCCAGGUUGCCAUGGUGCUGCUGUUUGAGGCUCUCUUCCAAAACCCCCUGGAGACCCAUCACACUCUGAGGCUGCUGCUGGGCUCUGGGCUGGAUGUCUGCGGCCUCCGCCUGCUCUACCCCGGCCAGGAGCUGCUGCUCUCCAGCUCAGAAAAGCUGCCUUCCUCCUACACUUCAGAGCCUGGCGAGGUGCCCCCAGUGCUGGCAUUAGGCGUGAGAGGCCCCAGAGCCCACGGGAUCCUGCAGGACAUCACCCGAGGCUGUGGCAGGGCGGAGCCUGUCGUGUCCCUGCCCCUGGCCAGCCGGGUGCACCGGGAGCUGUGCCUGUGGUUCGGAGGGAGAGCUGCUGGAAUGCUGCCCCCGCCUGCCAGCUCUCAGAGACCUUCCCCAGCUGGGGCAGGAGCAGAUAAAGAAAAAGUUGACCUCCAGGGCUUGAUGCUGCCUCGACCUCCAGCCAUGCUUGUCUCAACUACCAAAGGAGGAAACCUCAGCGUGGUGCCAGAGCCCCAUCCCAUCCCUCUGGAUUUCCUGAGCCACCGAGCUUUCGCUGCUGAGCCCGGCAUGGAGCAGGUGGUGAUGCUGACCCUGGUGGGGAUGAAGGCUCUGAAGAGUGCUGGGCAGCUCCUCCAGCAGAUCCUGCUGCCCCCCCUCAGGGAUCAGCCUCAGAGUGCAGGACUCGAGCUGCUGGGCCUGAAGUGGCUGCCCCACCUGACUGGGCGCCAGGCCAGGGAGGUGACCCCUUUUGAGGCUGGGGACACUCAGUGGCAGAGCAGCCUGGGCACGCUGACGUCCAGCCCUGUGCUGGUGUGCGCGCUCCGCGGCAUCGACGCCUUCCUGGCCCUGGGAGCUGCCCUGCAGGGAUGGACACAGAGCAGGGACAGGCUCUGCACAGGGGACAGCCUCCCACAGGCACUCAUGGCCCUCACACCAGAGGUGACCUUCAGACAAGCCAUCCUCUUCUUCACAGAGGCAGAUUUGGUCACUGAUGCAGAGCACCGCCCCGCUGGGAAAUUCCUGCCACCACCUGGCAGGAGCUCCAGGACUGAAGGGAAGACCACAGUGGGUGAGAGCUGGAGGUGCCGAGCAGAAUCCCUGUUCUCCUUCCUGCAAGCAGGGGCACAGCUUCUGUGCACGGUGCUGCUGAUCAAACCCGGGCUGUGGAGCCAGGGGCUGCCCAGGAUCCUCAGGGAUCUGCACCUGGAGAAAUUCUGCGUGGUCGGGAUGAAGCACCUGGAGCUGGGAGUGGCUGCUGCUGCCUCUCUGCUGCCCUGGGAGCUGCAGCAGGACCCAGCUGCUGUAGAAGCUCACUGUGCCUACCUGACCUCAGGCACUGCCCUGGUGCUGUGCCUGCAGAGACCCAAUGCUGUGAAGAAGCUGCUGGAUCUCCUGGGACCAGAGGAUCCUCAGCUGGCCCAGGCACUGGAUCCACACCUCUGGAGGGCUCAGUAUGGCACCAGCACAGUCCAGAAUGGAUUUUAUGGCUCCAGAUCCUAUGCAAUGGCAGUGCAGGAUGUGAAGCUGUUUUUCCCAGAAGGGCUGUGCUGUGCCCAGGCUCAGCCAGUGCAGGAGCAGGAGAUCCAUAACCUGAAACACGACCCCAUCCUCAGCCUGGGAGUCAGGAAACAGCACAAGAUCCUGACCCAUGAGCCAGGAAAACACCCCAGUGUCCUGGGCUCUGAGCAGCCAGGCAGUCCUGGUAAGGAAAUGUAACUCCUCUUAUGGAUUGGGGCUGCUAUUGAUUAAUUGGACAGC